UACGUAGGGUGCAAGCGUUGUCCGGAAUUAUUGGGCGUAAAGAGCUUGUAGGCGGUUUGUCGCGUCUGCUGUGAAAUUUCGGGGCUCAACCCCGAACUUGCAGUGGGUACGGGCAGACUAGAGUGUGGUAGGGGAGACUGGAAUUCCUGGUGUAGCGGUGAAAUGCGCAGAUAUCAGGAGGAACACCGAUGGCGAAGGCAGGGUCUCUGGGCCACUACUGACGCUGAGAAGCGAAAGCAUGGGGAGCGAACAGG
rnacentral:rRNA from 1 species